GACGAACGCUGGCGGCGUGCUUAACACAUGCAAGUCGAACGAUGAAGCACCAGCUUGCCGGUGUGGAUUAGUGGCGAACGGGUGAGUAACACGUGAGUAACCUGCCCCUCACUCUGGGAUAAGCCUGGGAAACUGGGUCUAAUACUGGAUACGACCGAUCUCCGCAUGGAGUGUUGGUGGAAAGUUUUUGUGGUGGGGGAUGGACUCGCGGCCUAUCAGCUUGUUGGUGGGGUAAUGGCCUACCAAGGCGACGACGGGUAGCCGGCCUGAGAGGGCGACCGGCCACACUGGGACUGAGACACGGCCCAGACUCCUACGGGAGGCAGCAGUGGGGAAUAUUGCACAAUGGGCGAAAGCCUGAUGCAGCGACGCCGCGUGAGGGAUGACGGCCUUCGGGUUGUAAACCUCUUUCACCAGGGACGAAGCUAACGUGACGGUACCUGGAGAAGAAGCACCGGCUAACUACGUG
rnacentral:rRNA from 1 species